UUACUAAAACACUUGAAUGUUUUUCCCUUUAGUUUCACUGCUUGUGCAUCAGCAGCAGCCAGAUCCUUUUUGUCCUUGAUAUUCUGGCAAUGUGUUCUACAUGUAUUUUAUGUACUUCACAUAUUUCUGUCAUGCACACUGGAUACUGUACACAUUACUGUCUGCAUCCUAUGUUCCACUUCUUGACUGUAGAAAGAACCAGUGAGGAGGAAAUGUCGAACAAUUUCUCUUGCUAAUCCCAGUACCAUAGUGAGGGGCUUCCAGCUUCUCCCAGAGAGUGUCUACUUCGGUACACUGCAUGUAAAAAGGAUUUAUUGCAGUUCUUGGGGCAGGUUCCAUGUAAAACAGCCUUCUCCUAGUACUGGCCUCAGGAUCAUCUACAAGCCGAGGCCUGUGGCUGCAGGUUUGCAGGUUGAACUGCAGGUUCAGCUGUUUGCCAUGUGUGCAGCCCAAACAGGACAAGUGGAGCCGAAGAAGUUUCUCCCAGGAUGUUAUCAACACUGAGACAGACAUCUUCUAUCUGCCUGUCACUGCUAAUAUCCUUUGACACGUAAAGAGAACAACAUAAUUGGGUUGUAUGUCCCUUGAAGAGACUGUAUGCAACUGCUGAAAACCCAAUGAAAAGUACAUGUAAUGAAAAAACGCGUACAAUUUUAUGGUCGCACACUGUUAGACUGUGGACAUUGUUGCAGUUUUUAUGUUACUUUUGUUUUUUUUCAGUCAACAUGUGUCUAAAUGCUUUUUUCUAGGAUUUUACAAGAUAUAAUCUGUAAUUAAACAAUAUGGUGAAAAUCUGUACAAAAAAAAAGUUAUAUUAUUAAAAAACCCGAAGACCUGUAGAAAAUUGAGUAAUUUUAUGGUCCACACAAAGAAUGUUUUCCUGUGAUUUAUAGGUCUGUGUAUAUUUUGGUAAUUGGAUUUUC